rnacentral:lncRNA from 1 species
AGACGUCUUGCCGGACGGUACCUUUGGGGCCAAGGAUUGUUUUGUUACUUUACCACACGUAUGCUAUGGGGAGGAAUGGAGACCAUUUGGGGAAGUGAUUGUUUUGGGCGAGUUUACGCCGAGACCGUGAUUGAGGACCAACCGGGUGUGUCGACAAGAGAGUCCGUUCGUUUUCCGGUUUUCAAUGCCGUCCGAGACUGUGUCUUGGGAAAGAUAAUGGCAUAUAUUUCAGAGGAAGUCGAUUGCAGCUUCAAUAAUGGGAGGUUCGAGAUUGACGUACAGGAAAGGGUGACAAGUUCCAGAGCACUUGUUGUCUUUGGACGCUUCGAUGAAAGGUUGGUGUGCCGUAAAGGUGAGGAAAAGAUGUGUGGACGCGAUGAUUGAUAAUUCGUUGGACAGUAUUUAAUAAGUUGCAUUAUAUAUAGAUAUAGAUAUAUAGAGAGAGUGUAGUUUUAUGUAUAUGGGAAAGAGACGGUAGGAGACAUAGGGUUGGUUCAAGGGUAGAUUUGUCAUCUUCUUAAUAUUGACUGAUAAUAAUGUUAAAAAUUAUAAUUAAUUUUUAAUUUACUCUAAUUAAUAAGUUAAAACUUGUAUUUGUUAAAAAAUAGUUCAAAGAUACAUUAAAUAUUGGAAUGAAUAUAUUUGUAUGUUACAUAUUCUUUGUUAAAAAUAGCAUAUUAAUUUAAGUAAAUUGAAAUAAAUCCAAAAUCAAAACAAGAAGCAUAGUUAUCAGAACCGAACCAGUGAUUGAACUGGUCAAGGCAUCGGUUCACUGGUUCAACCGUGGUUCAACCGGUUAUAUAAUAAAUAAAUAAUAAAAAUAUAUUUAAAUAAAAAAAAUCAUUAAAAAAUUAUAAAUUAAUUAAAAGAUAUUAUUUUUUAUACAAUAAUUCAACAUAAGUACAAAUAGUAAUAUUUAUAAAAAAAUAUAAAAUAUCUAAUAAUAAAAACAUUCAAGAGAAAUUUAUUUUUCUUUCUAAUUUAAUAUUUUUAAAUUUACUUUAUUGGUUAUUUUUUAUAUUUAAAAAGAAAAACGUAGCUUGCAUAAUGUGUGUUUAUUAGAUAAUAAUGUGAAUUAUUUGUUUGUGAUCUUUUAAUUUUUUUUUUAAUUUUUUGCUAAUAGCCCUCUUCUUUUUUAUCUUUAUUUUUUAAUAUAUUUUAUAUUUUUAUCUUGAAUUAUUUUUUGAAAAAUAACGUAUCUUGAUAUAUUUUAUUAUAAUAUAUAAAUAUCGAAAGAUGAGAUACCAACGGAAGAAGAGAGAACGUGCGUUAUGUAGCUAGUCAUUUUUUUUUCCUCUUGUUUUUUUUUUUUGCUUCUCUUGACUUUCAUUUGAGAGUUUUCCUUUUUUUUUAAUAAAAAAUCAUAAAAGAUAUGUUUAAAAAAUAAUGGUGUUUAAAAAUUUGUGUAUUUUUUAUUUUUUUAACUUUUUUCAAAAAUCGGCCGAUUCACUAAAUACCGUCCGGUUCACCCGGUUCAAUCCGGUUCACAUGCAUUUUCGGUUAAUUAAUUGAAUCGUACCGAUUUAAAGUCCAGUUCCCGGUUCAACCGAUUAAACCGGCCGGUUCAAUUCAGUUCGAUUUUUAUAAUUAUGACAAGAAGUACAUAAUAUGACAUAUUUAUGGGAGCAAUAAAGUGAAUUCAUGAAACCAAUGGUUAAACAUGAAUCGUACUACAAAUUGACAUAAGACUCGUUUUGUUCCAAGUAAGGUUUUGUGCAAAUAUUCAAUUCACCUGUCAAUCUGUCCGACUCGAACCAACCCAACUUAAACCCGACUAAACUCGCUCACUUUACAGAUAAAUAAUGGGUGGAUUUCAAAUAACCCAACCACAUUUGGUUCGGGUGUGCGGGCCAUUCAAUAGCCCAAGUCGAUAAAAUAUUGCACUAAAAUCCACCAUUUUCAUCCAACUCGACCCCAACCUGACCAAAUUCAAACCGACCCGACCUGACCAUCUAUUGGAUCGGAAUUGGGCCCAAACUUCUCUAACUCGAUCAGUUCGAUUCGAGUAUUGGGUCACCCAAACUCGACCUGACCCGACCCGACCCGACACGUGAACAACCCUAGUUCCAAAUUUGACACAAAAAAUUGCGAGAUACUACACUAGCAUUAUUGCGACUAAAGUACUUGUUUUGGCUGGAUUAGAGGUUCAUUACAUCCAAUGUAAUCGAGAGAUUCAUUACACUAAAAUUACAUUUAUAUUAUAAAUCACAACUCAUUUUGAAUCUCAAAACUAUCUUUUCCUAUCUACGAAAUUCAUUUGAGUUAAUCUAACGGCUGAAAUUUCACCUGAAAUUAUGUUUUUCCUCCCAAAAAUAUCACUUCUUUCUUCUCAAAGAUGUGAGACCCACAUAGGUUCUUAUCCAAUAGACAAAAAAUUUCUAAAUCUAAAUAUAUUUUUUACCCCUUAGAUCAUUUUUUAGUGGGACUCACAUUAAAAAAAGCUAAAAUACCUCUUUCUUUUCCUCAUUUCUCCCAAAUUAGCAUUUUUUUAAAAAAAUAU